rnacentral:lncRNA from 1 species
GGAUAAACACAUUUAUUAUAAUUUAUUAUAAAUGAAUGACAAAUCACAUGUAAAUAUUAUUAUUUUACACAUUAUAUUGUCAUAUAUUUAAGUAAUAAAAAUAAAUAGUAACAAAAAAUGGAGAAAAAGAAGGGGACAAUAUACAUCCUUGUCAUACUCCUUCUCCAAUCUUAAGUCAAUCAGUUGUUCCAUAUUCAGGUUCUUACUGUUGCUUCUUGACCUACAUAGAGAUUCCUCAGGAGAUAAGUAAGAUAAUCUGGUACUCCCAUCUCUGAGAACUUUUGACAUUUUGUUGUGAUCCACACAAAGACUUUGGUAUAGUCAAUGAAGUUGAGACAGAUAUUUUUUCUGGAACUCUCUUUUCUCUCAAUAAUUCAGUGAAUUUUGGCAAUUUGGUCAAUGGUUCCUUUGACACUUUGAAAAUCAGCUGCUCUUCUGGUAAUUCUUGGUUCACAUACUACUGAAGACAAGCAUGCAGAAUUGCAAACAGAACCUAGCUAGCAUGUGAAAUGAGCACAAUUAUUUGGUAAUAAGAACAUUCUUUGACACUUCCCUUCCUUAGGAUUGUGAGGUAAACUGCUUUUUUCCAAUGCAGUAUCCACUAUUUAGCUUUCCAAAUUUGCUGGCAUAUUGAAUGUUUUCGUUUUUGAAACUUUGACAGCAUUGUCUUUUGGGAUUUUGAAUAGCUCAGCUGGAAUUCCAUCACCUCCAUUAGCCAUAUUGUUAGCAAUGCUUCCUGAGGUCCACUUGAUUUCAUUCUCCAAGAUGUCUGAUUCCAGAUAAGUAACCACAUCAUCUUGGUUAUCUGUGAUGUUAAGAUAUUUAAUAUAUAGUUCUUCUAUGUAUACUUGCCACCUCUUCUUAAUCUUUUCUACUUUUGGUAAGUCUCUAUAUUGUUGUAUCUUAUAAUACCUAUUUUUGCAUGAAACAUUCCUUUGGUAUUUCUAAUUAUCUUGAAGAUAUCUCUUACCUUUCCCAUUGUGGCAUUUUCUUCUAUUUCUUUAAACUUCUGUCCAUAGUUCUUUGGGUGCUCUGUCUACCAGAUCUAAUUCCUUGACUCUACUCUUCACUUCUAUUUCAUAUUCAUAAAGGUUGUUAUAUAAGUCAUACCUAUAUAUUCUGGAUUCCCCUCUUUUCUUCUAUUUUAAUCUAAAUUUUGCAAUAAAAAGCUCAUGAUCUUAGCCA